CUAGCAUAUCAAUAAGCGGAGGAAAAGAAACCAACAGGGAUUGCCCUAGUAACGGCGAGUGAAGCGGCAACAGCUCAAAUUUGAAACCUGGCGCUUGCGUCCGGAUUGUAAUUUGUAGAGGAUGCUUCUGGGCAGCGGCCGUUCUAAGUUCCUUGGAACAGGACGUCAUAGAGGGUGAGAAUCCCGUAUGUGACCGGCGCGCACCCUCCACGUAGCUCCUUCGACGAGUCGAGUUGUUUGGGAAUGCAGCUCUAAAUGGGAGGUAAAUUUCUUCUAAAGCUAAAUAUUGGCCAGAGACCGAUAGCGCACAAGUAGAGUGAUCGAAAGAUGAAAAGCACUUUGGAAAGAGAGUUAAAAAGCACGUGAAAUUGUUGAAAGGGAAGCGCUUCCAACCAGACUCCGCGGCGGUGUUCCGCCGGUCUUUUGACCGGUCCACUCGCCGCCGUGGGGCCAACAUCGUCUGGGGCCGCUGGAUAAGACCGGAGGAAUGUAGCUCAUUGAGUGUUAUAGCCUCCGGUGAUGCGGCGCGUCCCGGGCGAGGUCCGCGCUUCGGCAAGGAUGUUGGCGUAAUGGUUGGCAGCGGCCCGUCUUGAAACACGGACCAAGGAGUCUAACAUCUAUGCGAGUGUUCGGGUGUCAAACCCCUACGCGUAAUGAAAGUGAACGGAGGUGGGAGCUUCGGCGCACCAUCGACCGAUCCUGAUGUCCUCGGAUGGAUUUGAGUAAGAGCAUAGCUGUUGGGACCCGAAAGAUGGUGAACUAUGCCUGAAUAGGGUGAAGCCAGAGGAAACUCUGGUGGAGGCUCGCAGCGGUUCUGACGUGCAAAUCGAUCGUCAAAUUUGGGUAUAGGGGCGAAAGACUAAUCGAACCAUCUAGUAGCUGGUUCCUGCGA
rnacentral:rRNA from 1 species